rnacentral:rRNA from 1 species
AUACGUAGGGGGCGAGCGUUGUCCGGAAUGAUUGGGCGUAAAGGGCGCGUAGGCGGCCUGUUAAGUCUGGAGUGAAAGUCCUGUUUUCAAGAUGGGAAUUGCUUUGGAUACUGAUGGGCUUGAGUGCAGGAGAGGUAUCGGAAUUCCUGGUGGAGCGGUAAAAUGCGUAGAGAUCAGGAGGAACACCGGUGGCGAAGGCGACUUUCUGGCUGACAACUGACGCUGAGGCGCGAAAGCGUGGGGAGCGAACAGGAUUAGAUACCCUGGUAGUCCACGCUGUAAACGAUGAUUACUAGGUGUAGGGGGUAUCGACUCCCUCUGUGCCGCAGUUAACGCAGUAAGUAAUCCACCUGGGGAGUACGGUCGCAAGAUUAAAACUCAAAUGAAUUGACGGGG